AUACGGAGGGUGCAAGCGUUAAUCGGAAUUACUGGGCGUAAAGCGCGCGUAGGCGGUUUAGUAAGUCGGAUGUGAAAGCCCUGGGCUCAACCUGGGAAUGGCAUUCGAUACUGCUUGACUAGAGUAUGGUAGAGGGAAGUGGAAUUUCCGGUGUAGCGGUGAAAUGCGUAGAUAUCGGAAGGAACACCAGUGGCGAAGGCGACUUCCUGGGCCAAUACUGACGCUGAGGUGCGAAAGCGUGGGGAGCAAACAGGAUUAGAUACCCCAGUAGUCC
rnacentral:rRNA from 1 species